rnacentral:sRNA from 1 species
UCAAACGCCCCCACCUGGUUUGUUGGGUUCUGUUCUCCUAAACAUGUCAAUUCUGCUUGGGUUCCAACGAGUGCUGGUGCGAUUAGCCGGGGUGGUCUCGUCGUUUUGCCAGGUGUAGCGAUUACAAGCCUUGUUGGAUUGAGGUCAGUCGUUACUCGACGAGCCUGAAAUUGUUGCGCGCCGAUGAGAGUGGUCCUCAGCUGUCCUUGGGAAGUAGCCGCCUGGAGCUGCUGCGCCAAAGAUCGGUGCACUUUUUUCCUGGUCGUCCACCUUCUUCUAGAGUUGUGCCAUCAUGCUUCUCAGUUCUGCUAGGACUGUAGGAGCGGCAACCUCAGGAGCGUUCGUCUGGACUGGAUGAUUCGGGUUUCCCUCCACGUCGACAGUGUUAGCGAGGACCUGGUUGUUGGUCAUUGCUUCUUGGUUCGAUGGUUUUGUGUUCUUGGAGUAAGAGAAAUCUAAAUCCCCCCUCCUUCUAGCGCCAAAUUGUUAGAGUCGAAACUCGCAAAGAAACAGUCUUCGCGAGAAUCUCAAAGAUCAACAAUCGAUAAGUAACCACGGAUGGUGUUUUUGAUAUUAUUAAUUGGAAACGAUGAUUUGAUCAUGCAAGUGUUUAGAAAUG